ensembl:lncRNA
CAUCUUGUGCAGAGAAAUCUCACUCAAACUCGUCCACCUGACUUCGGCUGCGAGCUGGUCAAGAAUCCAUUUUCCUUCAUUGGGAUGUCCUUGAACUGGUGUUUCUCCCCAGAAACGAUCCCUCUGUUAGGCAGAGUCCCGAGGGGGAGAUUUGAUUCAAUAUCAUCAUGUGUUUUGUCAGCACAUCUGGCCCAGAUGGCCACAGGCAGCAGGAGCCAGCAUUUCUGCACUGGAGAUGGAUGUUGGUGACACCUCUGGAAGGUGGAUCUGGUGAACAUGGACAUAGAGUGGCCUCUUGGACACUGGUUUUUGCUCCUGGACAUUCCUCAGGGAUCAUCCUGAGGGCUGAAAAAGGCCCUAGUACUCAGUCCUGUGCUUCCUGAGGAAGGGAACAGCUUUGAGCCUUGUCUGUGCCUUCCCAUAGUGAAUCCUGCAACUUUAGAGCCAACCCCAUCAUCCAGACCCUGCCAUGGAUGUGGUUCCUCCAUCCCAUCCUUCCUCUGGCUCUUGGGUCCACAAGGAAACCCUGGAGGAAUCUUGUGGAUUCUUGAGAUUGGAUCCACAAGAAAUCCCUCAGGGAAUCUUGAGGAGUUUUGAGAUGGGUCCCUGAGGCUUUUGUGACUCCAUCUUUCCCUCAGCACAACAGAAACCCACAUUGAGGAUUUUCAUCCCUGUCUUUCCUAUCCUUACCUCUGGAAUACCUCUGACACCUCACACAGGACAAUUUCUGGGCAGAGAAUUCUGAGGGAUAUACUCCUCACCACCCUUCCCUUUCUCCCUCUUGCCCCUGAGGCAUCGAUUCCUUAUGGAAACCAGCUGAGGACACCAAGUCCCAGGAGCACCUGGCUGAAGCCACUGGGCAAUCAGCUGUGAAUGAGUCACACCAGCAGCCCAAUCCCAGGGAUACCAGCCAGAUCCCUCUUCACAGGACAGAAAUAGAUUGUAAUUGACAGAUGACAGGCUGUGGCCAAGUCCUGGUGCUUCAGAGGGGGGAUGCAGGGAUAAGGGCUAUUAUUAUCCCUGCUAUUUUUCAUUUGGGAAGCACUCCUAUUGCCUCAAGUGCUCUCAGAAUUGACGGCAAGAGCAUUCCCGUCCUUAGCACACGGGAUUUCUGGGAUCCAAGGGCGUGACUGGAGAUGAGCUAUGAGCUGUGGGGUGGAUGUGCUAACAACUUCUGGCAGGGACUGGACCAGCACUUCAUCCCGGCCAGAGACAUUCCAAGGUCAAGGAAUUGCCACACCAAGGAGCGGCUGUGAAGUGAGAGUCAGACAAAGCAGCGGAAACUGGGGUGAAACAUCUCAGAGA